rnacentral:rRNA from 1 species
CUGGCUCAGGACGAACGCUGGCGGCGUGCCUAAUACAUGCAAGUCGAGCGGACAGAUGGGAGCUUGCUCCCUGAUGUUAGCGGCGGACGGGUGAGUAACACGUGGGUAACCUGCCUGUAAGACUGGGAUAACUCCGGGAAACCGGGGCUAAUACCGGAUGGUUGUUUGAACCGCAUGGUUCAAACAUAAAAGGUGGCUUCGGCU